UUUAAGUGCAACCACGAGUUUCCGUGUCCAACUUUGAUCGUCCGUCUUAUUUGAAUUAUUUUUAUAAUUAGUAUUUUUGUUGUUAUCAGAUGAUAAAACAUGAACAGUACUUUACUCACGACUUAUGUUUUUCAAUUUUUUUUCAAAUUUUUUAAAUAAAAUGGAUGAUCAAAGUUGAACGUGGAAAACUGUACUUAAA
rfam:Oryza glumipatula chromosome 12, whole genome shotgun sequence.